rnacentral:rRNA from 1 species
GAAACUCAAAUGAAUUGACGGGACCCGCACAAGCAGCGGAGCGUGUGGUUUAAUUCGUUGCUACACGAAGAACCUUACCUGGGUUUGACAUAUAGGUGUAGGGAACUGAAAGGGACCGACCCUUCGGGGAGCCUAUACAGGUGUUGCAUGGCUGUCGUCAGCUCGUGUCGUGAGAUGUUCGGUUAAGUCCGCUAACGAGCGCAACCCUCGUCGUAUGUUAUAUGUGUCAUACGAGACUGCCGGUAAAAGCCGGAGGAAGGUGAGGAUGAUGUCAAGUCAGCAUGACCUUUAUAUCCAGGGCUACACACACGCUACAAUGGUCUGUACAAUGGGUAGCCAAACCGCGAGGCGGAGCCAAUCCUGAAAGCAGGCCUCAGUUCAGAUUGCAGUCUGCAACUCGACUGCAUGAAGCCGGAGUUGCUAGUAACCGCAGGUCAGCAAUACUGCGGUGAAUACGUUCCCGGGUCUU